UACGUAGGGAGCAAGCGUUGUCCGGAAUCAUUGGGCGUAAAGCGCGCGUAGGUGGCCCUGUAAGUCCGUUGUGAAAGUCAAAGGCUCAACCUUUGAAAGCCGAUGGAUACUGCAGGGCUGGAGUCCGGAAGAGGCGAGUGGAAUUCCUGGUGUAGCGGUGGAAUGCGCAGAUAUCAGGAGGAACACCAAUAGCGAAGGCAGCUCGCUGGGACGGUACUGACACUGAGCGCGAAAGCGUGGGGAGGCGAACGGG
rnacentral:rRNA from 1 species